UUUUGAAUUCUGCUGCGGCGUCUCUGUGGUGGUUUCUCGUUUCGGAAAAUCAACGGUGUAGCAAGUCGGAGAUGCAGUUGAGAUUUAGCCAUGGACAGGAAGGCUAACCUUCCGGUUCAACCGGAUAAACCUCCGAAGAGUCUGGUAAAAUGCAGACGACCACUAUCGGGCCUCCACAACGACAAGCUUCAAGAAAUACACGUUUGGUUACAGCUGAAGGGCAGAGAUCUCAGGAUGUUGUUGGUUCUUCUAAGUUCCAAAAUUGUCAAAAAAAGGUGAGAGAGAAGAGAACAACGAAGAAGAAGCUCAUGAGUAUUUAUUAAAAAUUUAAAACAAGUUUUCAAUUUAUGUUGUAACCUUAGAUGAUGUAACUAACAUUCACGUGAUUCUAUUAUGUAUGUUUUUCUUCACAUGAGACAAUCGUUUCGGCUAGACUUCCAUUAUCGAAUUUGAAGAA